rnacentral:rRNA from 1 species
GGGUUUAAGGAUUCUAGGUUUCGGUCUUAAUUUCGGCUGUGCGCUCAGGCUGCACGCCGAUAACCUCUCACACCUGUGCACCUUUUCGGUUGCGGUUUCGGCCGCUUCCGCUUUUACAUGCAACCACGAAAAGUCUAGAAUGUGACGAGAACUAUAAAGUAACAACUUUCAACAACGGAUCUCUUGGCUCUCGCAUCGAUGAAGAACGCAGCGAAAUGCGAUAAGUAAUGUGAAUUGCAGAAUUCAGUGAAUCAUCGAAUCUUUGAACGCACCUUGCGCUCCUUGGUAUUCCAUGGAGCAUGCCUGUUUGAGUGUCACGUAAACCCUCACCCCUGCGAUGUAACAGUCGCCUGCGGUGGACUUGGACCGUGCCGGUAAUCGGCUCGUCUUGAAAUGCAUUAGCUGGCGCUUUUAGAGUGCUGGGCGAACGGUGUGAUAAUUAUCUGCGCCGACUGCCCUGGGCCUCUUCAGCGGCGCUGCUUACAGCCGUCCCUUGUGGACAACUAUUUUAAAGCUUUGGCCUCAAAUCAGGUAGGACUACCCGCUGAACUUAAGCAUAUCAAUAAGCGGAGGAAGAACAUUAAAGAU